UCUUCCUUCUUAAAAAAAAAAAACGUGGUUUUUGUAAUGUGUAAUUCUGUAACACUGGACAUCUAAUGUUCACCAGUUGAAAAAAAUGAAAACAAUUUUUUUUUCCAAUUACCGCUUCUCAAUAAUUCAAUUUCUUGUACACCGGUUACACAACAGACUUCCAUUUAUAAAAAAUCCCACUUACUUCAUUUUGCAAUGUCCAAUGUA